GCCAAGGUGGUGUAACGGUUUGAGCAUUGGACUAUGACUCUGGAGAUCAGGGUUUGAAUCCCAGCCCGGCCA